AUUGAACGCUGGCGGCAGGCCUAACACAUGCAAGUCGAACGAGAGGCGGACGGGUGAGUAAUGUCUGGGAAACUGCCUGAUGGAGGGGGAUAACUACUGGAAACGGUAGCUAAUACCGCAUACCAUCGGAUGUGCCGAAAUGGGAUUAGCUAGUAGGUGGGGUAAUGGCUCACCUAGGCGACGAUCCCUAGCUGGUCUGAGAGGAUGACCAGCCACCCUGGAACUGAGACACGGUCCGGACUCCUACGGGAGGCAGCAUUGGGGAAUAUUGCACAAGGGGCGCAAGCCUGAUGCAGCCAUGCCGCGUGUGUGAAGAAGGCCUUCGGGUUUUAAAGCACUUUCAGCGGGGAGGCGUUACCCGCAGAAGAAGCACCGGCUAACUCCGUGCCAGCAGCCGCGGUAAUUC
rnacentral:rRNA from 1 species